AAAGCUUUAAGUUAAUUAAAACUAUUAACCUUCAAAGUUAUAAAUAUCUUAUAGAUAAGCUUUA
rnacentral:tRNA from 1 species